CAAAAAUCCAAUACCAGCUAAAAAAAUUUUUUUUUUUUUUUUUACAAGUCGUUCUGACUAUGCAGGAGGAUAUAAGCCAUGACAGACACCCCGCUGGAAUAAUAUUGCAGGAAUGUUGCAGUGACUAAAAUAACAUUCAGCUGGUCUUGAAAGGCGAGUGGUGAUUGGCACCGAUUUUCCACUGUCGCUCCUAACAGCACUUGAUAAAACUUGAUAAAGCCCAGCAGCAGCAGACGGUGCAUCCCACCCUAGACCCCACCCUAAACCCCUCCCUCAUCCCUCCCACCCUCCCUCCCUGCCUGCCUCACGCGGAGAUGGGGAGAAGUUUGCCUGCGGCGCAGUCCACUGAACAUUUACCGUGUUUCAUUUGGGGAACAGCAACAAGAGCCUGCGGAGAAGCUUUCCAGGGAAUGCUGAGGAAUAUCUGACAGCACAGAAACACCAUCCACAGCUGACUUUUUCCCUCUUUUAAAAUACCAAAAAAAAAAAAAAAAAAAAUCUUUACCUAUCAUUGAUGUCGCCAAAGUAGUGGGAAGCUCGGGUCAGUAGGACAGCGGCCGCACGCGGACUGUUGUCUAUCUGAGGGUGCUUUUAAAAAAAAAAAAAAAUAGGUCCCGAAGAAGAAGAACCACCGAAAGACGCAAAAGAAGAAGAAGACAGUCCACGUGAAAGUGAUACAAGAGUCCGACUCAGAAUGAAUAACAACAAAAUCGAGAAGGAAAACGAGCAGAGUGAAUUCACCAACCACGAAGAGGAGGUCCGAACACUAUUUGUCAGUGGACUACCACUGGAUAUUAAGCCGCGGGAGCUCUAUCUCCUGUUCAGACCAUUUAAGGGUUAUGAAGGCUCCUUGAUAAAACUCACUUCCAAACAGCCAGUGGGGUUUGUCAGCUUUGACAGUCGAUCAGAGGCGGAGGCUGCUAAGAAUGCCUUGAACGGGGUCCGGUUUGAUCCAGAGAUCCCCCAGACCCUUCGGCUGGAGUUCGCCAAGGCCAACACCAAGAUGGCCAAGAACAAGCUGGUGGGGACCCCCAACCCCCUGCCCUCCCAGCAGAGCCCGGGGCCACAGUUCAUCAGCAGAGACCCAUAUUCGCUGGCUCCCUCCUGCAGAUGGAACUCCUCAGGGAUGGAAGUCCAGGCAGUUCUGCUGAAGUAUGUGUUCCUGAUGUGUGAUGGUGGCCGUGGCCGGCUGUGACGGGCGUUGCUGAUUGCCUCUCGUGUCCAAUUAGAAAGCAGGAGGACUGACCCGACUCUGGCUCACGGAGCAGCGUACCGUCGGCAGCAGCAGCCUCGUGGGCCUCAGGACAUACCAGACCCCAGCCUCCAUCACACAUCGAGCCCCCCCCUCGUCCCCCUCGCCCUCCCCAAAGUCCUUCCAACUCUUUUUUAUACUGUUACAUACUCGAGAUUUACCGGCAGUGCUUUGGCUACACCUCCUCUGACACCUCCAUGAAAGGUACCGGGCAUGCAUGACAAA